rnacentral:lncRNA from 1 species
CUGAUGAAACAUACAUUUAUUUGCUCCCAUUAAGGUUUAAAGUUUAACAAAAAUGCAUUUCUGAUACCAAAAAGCUUCAGGCAAUAAGAGAUCGACCUUAACACAGAAAAACAAAGAUUUCAUUUACAGACUCUUGGACUUAAGAAUUCAUUUGAGUUCCAGAGAUAAUACUAAACUAAUAGGUUUAUGUCAAGCUGCCAGUAUCCAUGCUGAGGCUUUUCCUGAUAUAAUCUUUUGCAACAUAAGCAACACUGAAAAGAUCACUUUUUUCCCCCCACAAGUUCUUGUUAUAUUGCUUAUACAAUGUCCAAAAACAAAAGAAAGACCAAAGAUCUUUGCUUAAAAAUAGAAAUGCAUAAUGCA